UUGACGCGUUUAAUAACACACAAAGCUGCAGGUAAAGUUGUUAAGAGUAGGGUGGAAGCAAUUUCAGUUUGGGCAUUGUCGAUUUCUUCGCCAGUUAGUCGGCAUACUGAUUGGUGAAGUUUACGAAUCAGCCCUUGCAUUCGCGGACGGUCUUUUGUUGGACCAUUUAUUCGCUUUUUUUGAAUUAUCUGAAAAAAGUACAAGUGCAGCUGGAGAAUACUGAAGGUGGGGUAAUAGCCCUGACAGACGACAGCGCUAAUUUGCAUUAGCGAGUAUAAUUUACAUAAACUUGCGCAUUUGACCCAUUUUAAUACAAAUUAGUAAUGCACAAAAAUGUCGUGCAUUUAGCUGAAUUUACCAAAUUUUAGUAGGCAACAUUCGUUAAAAAUUGCAGACUUUUGUUAUUGUGAAUGGUGAUUAAUAGAAAGAAGAAGAUAAAACAUAAACAAAAGAUUUAAGGAAAGCGUUAGAGAUGGAAGGAAACAAACAAUGGGAACAAACAUCUAUGCCGAUAUAUCUGUGCAAAUGGCACACAAAUUUACAUUAAAAGAAGUUCAUGUAAAAAUAAGGAAUCUCUCUUAAAAAUAUAGAGAGGAAAAGAAAAAGUAGGGCCCUCGGGGGCCCACGAAUUCAACAUUACUUCAGUUCCAGUCAUCUAUAACUAUAAGAUUACGAGAACCAAUGUCAACUGAACCUAUAGCAUCACCAGGACCAAUGUUAUCUGAACGGGUGUGUACGCCAGUAAUGACAUUGACGAACUCGCCAUCAGUAUCGCCAUUGGGUAGUUCAACAUCAGCAGCGGGUACAUCUAAAAAGAGAAAUUACAUGGGCGAACUAAUAAAAGUGGCAAAAGAACAAAAGGAAUUGCUGAAGACAGUGGUGCAGGACGGGAAAAUAUUGACCGAGAGAGUUGUUAAUGCAAUCGAACAACAAAGUAGUAAUACAAAAGAGUUUAUAGGUGUUAUGAAAAAUAUUUUAGAAAAAAUGUACUUAUAAAUGUAUAU